AUUGAACGCUGGCGGCAGGCCUAACACAUGCAAGUCGCACGAGUGGCGGACGGGUGAGUAAUGUCUGGGAAACUGCCUGAUGGAGGGGGAUAACUACUGGAAACGGUAGCUAAUACCGCAUACCAUCGGAUGUUCCCAGAUGGGAUUAACUAGUAGGGGGGGUAAAGGCUCACCUAGGCGACGAUACCUAGCUGGUCUGAGGGGAUGACCAGCCACGCUGGAACUGAGACAAGGGCCAGACUCCUACGGCAGGCAGCAGUGGGGAAUAUUGCACAUUGGGCGAAAGCCGGAUGCAGCCAUGCCGCGUGUAUGAAAAAGGCCUUCGGGUUGUAAAGUACUUUCAGCGGGGAGGCGUUACCCGCAGAAGAAGCACCGGCUAACUCCGUGCCAGCAGCCGCGGUAAUUC
rnacentral:rRNA from 1 species